rnacentral:rRNA from 1 species
CUGCACAAGCGGGUGGAGCAUGUGGUUUAAUUCGAAGCAACGCGCAGAACCUUACCAGCGUUUGACAUGGUAGGACGAUUUCUGGAGACAGAUCUCUUCCCUUACGGGACCUACACACAGGUGCUGCAUGGCUGUCGUCAGCUCGUGUCGUGAGAUGUUGGGUUAAGUCCCGCAACGAGCGCAACCCUCGCCUUUAGUUGCUACCAUUUAGUUGAGCACUCUAGAGGAACUGCCGGUGAUAAGCCGGAGGAAGGUGGGGAUGACGUCAAGUCCUCAUGGCCCUUACACGCUGGGCUACACACGUGCUACAAUGGCGGUGACAGUGGGCAGCAAACUCGCGAGAGUGAGCAAAUCCCAAAAAGCCGUCUCAGUUCGGAUUGUUCUCUGCAACUCGAGAGCAUGAAGGCGGAAUCGCUAGUAAUCGCGGAUCAGCAUGCCGCGGUGAAUACGUUCCCAGGCCUUGUACACACCGCCCGUCACACCAUGGGAGUUGGAUUCACCCGAAGGCGUUGCGCUAACUCGCAAGAGAGGCAGGCGACCACGGUGGGUUUAGCGACUGGGGUGAAGUCGUA